UUACCAGAAAUUUUGGCAUCUGCAUCUAAAAUUGUUUCCGUUUGUCGAAGCUUUCUUUGUUUGAACCAUUUAGGCUUGGUUUAAUCAAUAGUUGAGUAGAUAAAAGGUACUUAGAUUGAGAAAUUUAUGUGAAUACAGGGGAGGAGUUAGAGAAGCUUGCUUUAGAUGUAGCUUUUUCUGAUGCAACAUAUUAUGAAAUUGGUGGAGGCAAUAUCGGCCACACUUAAAAACAAGGCAAGUAAAAGACCAAUUAUUCAUACGCUGUUAUCCAUUUGUGCUUAGCUCAUUUCACAACCAUCUUUCUUAUCCUUUUAGAACACUCUCUCCACUUACUAUUUUCUUAAUGAAUUAUUCUCAAUGAAAACUGUACUGAAAGCUAUUGGUUGAACCAAACAAUGCAUUUAGUUCUUACAAAAAAACCAUCAACUGACUUUGUUCGCAUUUGCUUCUUCUACUGAUAUUCUCAGUAAAUAUGGUAUACUGUGGCACACUGGUCAAGUCUCUAUCAGCAAACAUAACAACUGCAACUCGGCCCACAUGCUCUCCUGCAAAAGAUGGUAAUAAACAAGGUCAUAAGGGCACCAGCUCAAGAGGAAGAAGGUCCACAGAACAAGAAACGUUUAUUGGUGAUUGCUCUGAUCACAAUUCCUAUGAUUAUGAUCCUACUGAGAACAAUGAUGUAUUAUCUAAAAAGGAGAAUACUCAAGUCAAUUGGGAUUAUAGACAACAUUAAAAGAUCAGUUUGUAGACUAUUAAAUGUAAUUUCAGCUACAGAUAGUUUUAACAUCAAUGCUCCUAAUCUGUCUACAAGUUGGAGAGGAUGAACAUAUAUGUCUACAAGGAAGGAUGAGACCUGGGUGAGCUAGACAGAAUUGUCAGGAAACUGUUGCAGCCUAGGGUCUAUGUGAAAUUGAUUAAUCUGGGUCUUGAGGUGGCCUUCAUCUCUGUUCAACUGAAGCCCCUCAGUUUGAUUUAGAGUUUUCAUGCAAAUCGAGAAGAAAGAGAUCCAAGAUUUCAGAACCAACCCAUCUUUUUGAACGAAGUUUACGAAAGAGUGAAUGCCUUGGAAGCACUGAAAACCGUGAUGGUUAUACACCACACUUCGAGGGAAGUUGAUGGUACAUUUUGUGAUGCUAAAUACAGCUGGAGUAGAGGUCAUAUUCUGAACAUAUCUCAUUUUCUUUUCAGUAAGAAUAAUAAAUGGCCAUGAAGAUUCUUUGAGACGAAGCAUUGACUAUUGUACCUGCAUUCAUUUAUAUGCAUCAUAUAUCGAAGAAUGACUGGACUGUUUUCGUGUCCUGAUGUACGAUGUUCAGAAAGAUCACUUGGUAUGCAGUUUGAAUUGGAACUUAUGUGCAAGCUUUUUGUAUAUACACUGUUCUUUCCAUAUCAUUUAACAGAAAAACCACCCUCUAGCUUUUUCUUUAAACUUUUAUAUUAUGUUUAAUUAUCAAUGCAAAAAGGAAUAGAAAUGUACCAUAUUCUUUAAUAUAGUACAGUCGUUUACUCUGCUAAUUUACACAUUUUUUAUAUUGUAUUACCAGUGUAACAUGAUGGCAUUUAGAAUAAAGGAUCUCACAUGUUCAAUACAAUCUCUACAGAGAACCAAGGAACUUGAAACCCCAGACUUACUAAGGCAUCUACCUGCUUUGCAACAGCUUCUUUCUCACCUUCUUGAUUGCUAGCCACAACUGGGGACUAUAUGUAAGAGCCUGAUUCAAUAUGUUAUUUCAAUGGUUGCAGGUAAAAUUGACAAGUUGUAUGCUGCAGUUACAUAUGGUAUUGUCAAUUUAGUUAACAACGCAGGCCUCAGUUUUCUAUGUGCACAAUGAUGGGCAGCUGCUACAAUUAAUGAUGGGCAAUACUUGAUGUUGUCAUAGAAUGGUUUCAUAGGAUGUUAUUGUAAACUGCAAUAAUGUAAACCAAACAAUUUUAGAUAGAUGAAAUUUUGGUUCAUUUUAUCAUUCUAUCAUUAUUGU